UGAUGGAGGCAUAGGUAAACCUGGG
rnacentral:piRNA from 1 species